AAAUGUUAGAUAAUAAUUUAUUUUUAAACAAAUUUAAAGCAAAAAUAAAUUAUUCUUAAAUUUUUUAUUUGAGAGAAAGGUAUCAUACUAUCCGCUUCAUUUAUUUUUAUUUUUUAUAGAAAUAAAUAUAGCUGUAAAUAUAAAUCAACUAGGAUUCGAACUUGAAACAUUGGAUACCAAUCACCAAACCCUUUGCCACUUGCGUUAGGGACAGUUGGUAAAAGAUCUUGAACAAAAGGAUUGUAACCAAUCCACCAUCCACUUCCACCUCUUUGGAUAUACAAAAUUUUAUUUUAAGAAAUAAAAGAUAUAUACGAUACCAAACGAGACCUUAAUAAGAUGAUUAACUUAUUAAAUUU
rnacentral:lncRNA from 1 species